AUAGUCUGGCUGCCUCCGCAGAUAGGUCUGAGACCUCAGUGAUGUCCUCAUGUGGCUGUGGAUGGGCUAGAGCUAGUACUUACCUCUGCAAGUCGAAUACUCUGUCAGUCAGUCUCACUACACAACCCUCAAGCUGCUCGAUGCGAACUGACUGAUCAGAAAUCAUCUGAAACAUAGUGGAGAUGUGGAAAAUCAGUGUCUGAUCAGAUACAUCGUGAGAUGUCGAUCGCUGAGCAAAAGCUGAAGUACCCAUUUGAUGAGAUAGUAUG
rnacentral:lncRNA from 1 species